AACGAACGCUGGCGGCAUGCCUAACACAUGCAAGUCGAACGAACCCUUCGGGUCUAGUGGCGCACGGGUGCGUAACGCGUGGGAACCUGCCCUUAGGUUCGGAAUAACUCCCCGAAAGGGGUGCUAAUACCGGAUAAUGUCUUCGGACCAAAGAUUUAUCGCCUUUGGAUGGGCCCGCGUGGGAUUAGCUAGUUGGUAGGGUAAAAGCCUACCAAGGCGACGAUCCAUAGCUGGUCUGAGAGGAUGAUCAGCCACACUGGGACUGAGACACGGCCCAGACUCCUACGGGAGGCAGCAGUGGGGAAUAUUGGACAAUGGGCGAAAGCCUGAUCCAGCAAUGCCGCGUGAGUGAUGAAGGCCUUAGGGUUGUAAAGCUCUUUUACCCGGGAUGAUAAUGACAGUACCGGGAGAAUAAGCUCCGGCUAACUCCGUG
rnacentral:rRNA from 1 species